rnacentral:sRNA from 1 species
GAUGUCCUUUCUCUGUCUGCCCGCAGCCCACAAACACAAGAAGCAGGACCAGCUGCAGCCCUGCGACACGGAGUACCCCGUGUUCGUGUACCAGCCGGCCAUCCAGGAGGCCAACGGGAUCAUCGAGUGCGGGCCCUGCCAGAAGGUAUUUGUGGUGCAGCAGAUUCCCAACAGUAACCUCCUCCUCCUGGUGACAGACCCCACCUGUGACUGCAGCAUCUUCCCACCAGUGCUGCAGGAGGCGACAGAAGUCAAAUAUAAUGCCUCUGUCAAAUGUGACCGGAUGCGCUCCCAGAAGCUCCGCCGGCGACCAGACUCCUGCCACGCCUUCCAUCCAGAGGUGCGGGUCGAGGCGGAUCGAGGGUGGGCUGGAUCUUCAUCCCCAAGCCCUCUGUGCCUGGGUCUGUGCCCCUGAAGACAGGAGCAUAUAUGGAUGCCAAUGAACACACCUGUGCCUGUGCUUUUCCGGGGAAACAUUCGCGUUUAUGCCCUGUGACACUGUGAUAUAAUAAGAAACAGAUCUUUAGUCUUUGAUUCCUGGCAAGCUCCUAAAACCCUUAUUUCCUG